GGUUUCGUAGUGUAGUGGUUAUCACGUCUGCUUUACACGCAGAAGGUCGCCGGAUCAAACCCGGCCGAAAUCA